rnacentral:rRNA from 1 species
GAUUAAGCCAUGCAUGUCUAAGUACGUGCCGCAUUAAGGCGAAACCGCGAAAGGCUCAUUAAAUCAGUUAUGGUUCCUUAGACCGUACCACGCUACUUGGAUAACUGUGGCAAUUCUAGAGCUAAUACAUGCAGCGGAGCUCCGACCCUCGCGGGGACGAGCGCUUUUAUUAGACCAAGACCGACCGUCCGUCCUCCGGUCAAACGGAGGCGGGCGCCCGUCGUGGCGACUCUGAGUAACUUUGGGCCGAUCGCACGGGCUCGUCCCGGCGACGCGUCUUUCGAGUGUCUGCCUUAUCAACUGUCGACGGUAGGUCACGCGCCUACCGUGGUCGUUACGGGUGACGGGGAAUCAGGGUUCGAUUCCGGAGAGGGAGCCUGAGAAACGGCUACCACAUCCAAGGAAGGCAGCAGGCGCGCAAAUUACCCACUCCCGGCACGGGGAGGUAGUGACGAAAAAUAACGAUACGGGACUCUAUCGAGACCCCGUAAUCGGAAUGAGCACACUCCAAACCCUUUAGCGAGGACCCAUUGGAGGGCAAGUCUGGUGCCAGCAGCUGCGGUAAUUCCAGCUCCAAUAGCGUAUAUUAAAGUUGUUGCGGUUAAAAAGCUCGUAGUUGGAUCUCAGUUCCAGACGGGCGGUCCGCCUAACGGCGGGCGCCGCCCGGCCUGAACAGACCGGUCGGUUUCCCCCGAUGGCCUUCGCCGGUCGACGGGGGUGACCGGCGCGUUUACUUUGAAGAAAUUAGAGUGCUCAGGGCAGGCAGCGACACGCCUGGAUAAUGGUGCAUGGAAUAAUGGAACAGGACCUCGGUUCUGUCUCGUUGGUUUUCGGAAGGCGAGGUAAUGAUUGAGAGGGACGGACGGGGGCAUUCGUAUUGCGACGCUAGAGGUGAAAUUCUUGGACCGUCGCAAGACGAACCGCUGCGAAAGCAUUUGCCAAGAACGUUUCCGUUAAUCAAGAACGAAAGUCAGAGGUUCGAAGGCGAUCAGAUACCGCCCUAGUUCUGACCAUAAACGAUGCCGACCAGCGAUCCGCCUGGGUUCCUCAAAUGACUCGGCGGGCAGCUUCCGGGAAACCAAAGCGUUUGGGUUCCGGGGGAAGUAUGGUUGCAAAGCUGAAACUUAAAGGAAUUGACGGAAGGGCACCACCAGGAGUGGAGCCUGCGGCUUAAUUUGACUCAACACGGGAAAACUCACCCGGCCCGGACACCCGGAGGAUUGACAGAUUCAGAGCUCUUUCUUGAUUGGGUGGGUGGUGGUGCAUGGCCGUUCUUAGUUGGUGGAGCGAUUUGUCUGGUUAAUUCCGUUAACGAACGAGAUUCCAGCCUGCUAAAUAGGCUCUCUCGGCUUCGGCCGACGAGAGCGUCUUCUUAGAGGGACCGGCGGCGUCCAGCCGCACGAGACGGAGCACUAACAGGUCUGUGAUGCCCUUAGAUGUCCGGGGCCGCACGCGCGCUACACUGAAGGAGUCAGCGUGUGCUCUCCCCGUCCGGCAGGACCGGGUAACCCGUUGAACCUCCUUCGUGAUGGGGACAGGGGCUUGCAAUUGUUCCCCUCGAACGAGGAAUUCCCAGUAGGCGCGAGUCAUAAGCUCGCGUCGAUUACGUCCCUGCCCUUUGUACACACCGCCCGUCGCUGCUACCGAUCGAACGAUUUAGUGAGGUCUUCGGACUGGCGCUCGCUGCGGCUUCGGUCGCGUCGAGGUGCCGGAAAGACGACCGAACUUGAUCGUUUAGAGGAAGCAAAAGUCG